AUUGAACGCUGGCGGUAUGCUUAACACAUGCAAGUCGAACGGCAGCAUGCUAAUUGAUACUUCGGUUGAAGUUAGUGAUGGCGGAGUGGGCGGACGGGUGAGUAAUACGUAAGAAUCUACCUAGUAGUUCAGGAUAGCUUGUGGAAACGCAGGGUAAUACUGGAUGUGUUCUCCGGAAUAAAGGGGGGCUUUUCGGGCUCUCGCUAUUAGAUGAGCUUACGUCGGAUUAGCUUGUUGGUGGGGUAAAGGCCUACCAAGGCGACGAUCCGUAGCUGUUCUGAGAGGAAGAUCAGCCACAUUGGGACUGAGACACGGCCCAG
rnacentral:rRNA from 1 species